GACGAACGCUGGCGGCGUGCUUAACACAUGCAAGUCGAGCGGAGCGGCGAACGGGUGAGUAACGCGUGAGUAACUGCCCCCCUCUCUGGGAUAACAGUUGGAAACGGCUGCUAAUACCGGAUAGUGGGGGAUGACUCGCGUCCUAUCAGCUUGUUGGUGGGGUAGUGGCCUACCAAGGCGACGACGGGUAGCCGGCCUGAGAGGGCGACCGGCCACAUUGGGCUGAGAUACGGCCCAAACUCCUACGGGAGGCAGCAGUGGGGAAGAUUGCACAAGGGGGGAAACCCUGAUGCAGCAAAGAAGCGAGCGGGAUGACGGCCAUGGGGUAGUAAAGCGCUUCCAGCCAUGACGCGGUAGUGGAAGAAGGAGCAGAGGCUAAAUACGAGCCAGCAGCCGCGGUAAUAC
rnacentral:rRNA from 1 species